AGAGUUUGAUCCUGGCUCAGAUUGAACGCUGGCGGCAUGCCUUACACAUGCAAGUCGAACGGUAACAGCACUUCGGCGGCUGACGAGUGGCGAACGGGUGAGUAAUACAUCGGAACGUGCCCGAGAGUGGGGGAUAACGCAGCGAAAGCUGUGCUAAUACCGCAUACGAUCUACGGAUGAAAGCAGGGGAUUCGCAAGGACCUUGCGCUCAUGGAGCGGCCGAUGGCAGAUUAGGUAGUUGGUGGGAUAAAAGCUUACCAAGCCGACGAUCUGUAGCUGGUCUGAGAGGACGACCAGCCACACUGGGACUGAGACACGGCCCAGACUCCUACGGGAGGCAGCAGUGGGGAAUUUUGGACAAUGGGCGAAAGCCUGAUCCAGCCAUGCCGCGUGCAGGAUGAAGGCCUUCGGGUUGUAAACUGCUUUUGUACGGAACGAAAAGAUCUCUUCUAAUAAAGGGGGUCCAUGACGGUACCGUAAGAAUAAGCACCGGCUAACUACGUGCCAGCAGCCGCGGUAAUACGUAGGGUGCAAGCGUUAAUCGGAAUUACUGGGCGUAAAGCGUGCGCAGGCGGUUAUAUAAGACAGAUGUGAAAUCCCCGGGCUCAACCUGGGAACUGCAUUAGUGACUGUAUAGCUAGAGUGCGGCAGAGGGGGAUGGAAUUCCGCGUGUAGCAGUGAAAUGCGUAGAUAUGCGGAGGAACACCGAUGGCGAAGGCGGCUGCCUGGACCGAUACUGACGCUGAGACG
rnacentral:rRNA from 1 species